rnacentral:lncRNA from 1 species
GUUCACUUUUUGCCAUCCUUACUAAACCAAAACACAGUGUUGGUACUGGAGAAAACAAAAAGAAAGUAUCUCAAAAAAAAGUUAAUCGUCAACUUGUUCCUCACACUCUAAAAAAAAACAUUUGUAAGUGAUAAGGCUCAAUCACAACAACUAAAUAAUGAAAAAAUUGACAAAAGUAAAGCUGAAUUAAGCGAAGAUGAAGAAGUGUUAGAUGAUUGUAAUUUUUUUAGCUUGGUGUGGAAAUACUUUAAGUAUUAAGGAAAAAGAUUUUGUUGUAAGUGUAGAAAAUAAGUCAAAUUCAAAUGAUUUGAAUGUAACAAGAGACAGUCUUUUUAACCUGCUUCAACAGUACAACAACUGUGUCACUCUUCAAGUUUAAUUAAUAAAGAAUCUUCUGCAUGCUCUUCUGAAUCUUCAUAUAAAUAAAAAAGUUAUAGCGAUGUUACCGCUCCUUAUGCAGAGUGUUAUAGCGAUUUUCCAUAUGACAAGUUACCAUGACAAUUUUACAAGUCCAUAUGACGAGUGUUAAUGAUGUUACCGCUCCUUAUGAUAGUGCAGAGUUUAACAGUAUAACCUUGAGUACUUUAUAAAAUUCGAACACAUAAUAUUUUGAAGGUCACCACAUAAAAAGUGAACCAGAAUAAUUUUUUGCUUAUGGUUAUCAGAAGACUUACAAAGAACCUGAAAGCACAUUAACUGUUGACCCUGUUGAUGUCUACCACCAAUCAAAUGUUGACACACUGUUAGAUAAGGAUGCUAUAAAAGCUCUUGUUGGAGGAAAAAAGAAAAUAAGAAAUAAGGAUAUUAUUAUUGAUGUGAAAGAAAAAGACUAAAAAAGAUGAACCUCGUAAAUUUGAGAAAAGAAAGUAUCAAAUCACAUAUCUGGCUUAUCAGGGAAAAGAAAGAGAACACGAGCUUCGCCAGGCAUGGUCAAUCAGUAAAGCAACCCGGCGCGAUCCACAGUCAAAGUAUGGUUUUUAAAUCAAUCAUUG